rnacentral:pre_miRNA from 1 species
UCUCGAAUAGCGUUGUGACUGAUGGUAUUUAAAUAUAAAUCCGAGACAAUGCUAUUCUUGUAA